GAUGAAGAACGUAGCGAAAUGCGAUAAGUAAUGUGAAUUGCAGAAUUCAGUGAAUCAUCGAAUCUUUGAACGCACAUUGCGCCCCCUGGUAUUCCGGGGGGCAUGCCUGUCCGAGCGUCAUUACAACCCUCAAGCUCAGCUUGGUGUUGGGCCCCGCCGCCCCGGCGGGCCCUAAAGUCAGUGGCGGUGCCGUCCGGCUCCGAGCGUAGUAAUUCUUCUCGCUCUGGAGGUCCGGUCGUGUGCUUGCCAGCAACCCCCAAUUUUUUUCAGGUUGACCUCGGAUCAGGUAGGGAUACCCGCUGAACUUAAGCAUAUCAAUAAGCGGAGA
rnacentral:misc_RNA from 1 species